rnacentral:lncRNA from 1 species
CAACCACGUAGCGCGGGAGGAGACGUGCUCGGCAGGCAGCUGAGCUGUGAGGGCGAAGCCGUGGGGAGCGGGCGGGGGGCAGCGCGUUAAAACCGGGGGGCUGCGGGGGGCGGCAAAAAACGGAGCGAACCGUGCACGGGGCGGGGAGAGCGGGGCCGUGAGCGGGGCUGUGUCCUCUGCGUGGCCGCUCUGAUCGCUGCGGCACCCCGAGGACUGAGGGUCGUUUCCAGCCCCUCACGACCCCGCGUUGUCCCUGAGGUGAGGUCCUGCCGGGGGGCCUCGGUGUCGCUGAGCGCAGGGGCGAGAAAAACGCGUAUUUCUAUACAAAAGCGCACAUUUCCGUAGCAAAGCGGGCCUAUUUCCGUACAAAAUCAGUGUCUGGGAGGACAGGGCAGACAGCAGAGGGCGGCACAGCCCGCAGGCCCGGCGCCGGGCGCUGCUGUAACCCCGCUCUGCUCGGCUCUUUGCUGUUACUGCCCGUUCCCCUUCAGGUGCGCGGCAGCUUUCAGUUCUGAGCGAGAUCGAAAGCUGAGAGGAGAAUCGGUUCCUUUUCCCAUCCCGAGGCUGAAGCGGGUAAAGGAAACUUCGGGCUGGUACAAAAUACGUACAGCUGCAGAUCGCCGGGCUGCGGCAGCCGCACCUCGAGGCGGCCUCGGCCUUUUCCGCGGGGUGCCGCGCACAGACGUUGUGGCUGCAGCGUCUCUACAAGGAAAUGUUUUCGGGCUCGGGUGUGAGGGAAAGGCGCUGCCCAGAGGGCGGUGGGCACGGCACAGCUCCCCAGGGCACGGCCUUGAGCUGCCGGGGCUCGGGGGGCAUUGGGACACCGCUGCCAGCCAUAGGGUUUGGGUUUGGGUGGUGCUGUGUGGGGCCGGGGGUUGGAUUCGGGGAUUCUCCGUGGUUCCGACCUGCUUUGAGACGCGUGCACACAGCAGGGGUGGUGUCCGUGAGGACUCACAAAUUAGUGGUGGGAAGUUUGAAAAGCUCAGUGUUCGUACACUGAGAAAUGGAAAUCGUCCCCUGGUGUCAGCGAGAGGCUGAGAACGGCAGUGUGUGUCCCCCUGUCAUAGAGGCUCCUCUAGUGCUGCAAAGCCCCUCCAGGUGCCUGCUGUCCCGUCCACCUAUACAGGGUGGGUUUGCUUUGCUGUCCCUCCUCAGCCUGUGGGAUCACUCCUUCUUGGAAGCCUCUCUCCUGCUUUUCAGUGGCAAUUCGCAGGUCAUCGUCGCGUGAUUCAUUCAUUCCCUGGCCUUAUCAAAGACUGUUUGGAAACACCCUGGUGGAGAAAGCAUGACCCCUCCACCCUGGGAGGGUGCUCAUCACCUCCAUUCCGCCUCAGAAGAAGGGAUGGGGGAUGAAGGGAUGCCAAGGACAAAAUCCAGUCUGUAGCUGCGUUUUGCUGGCAACAGCAGCCAAACCCAUCCAAAUCUGCCUUUUUAGGGAGGAUUACAUACAUCCAAGCACACGUGCCUUCCUGCACCCGUGCAUAUGUGCAGCAAGCAAUAAGCUAUGAGCAGUGGUCUGGGACAGGUUGCAAGCACGGGGCAGUUUCCAUUGGGGUCAGCACUGAUGUGUACAGUCCCUGCUUGCACUCCUGUGGGGGGGAAAUCUGAAGAAUUUCAGCGUGGGUUGACCUGAAAUGACAUUUUGCUGCUUCUGUUUUUCUCACAGCCUUCUCAGUGGGGUGAGAUCUCUGUUCCUGCAACCCGCUCUCCCUUCAAACGCUGAUGUGUGCCUGUGUGUCAUUUCAGGUUAACUGAACUGGCUGCUUGGGUUUGAAACGAGAGCUGUUUCAUUUUUCGGGUCGCUUAACAGCCUCCUAACUGUAACAAACACAGUGAUUAAAAACAUGAAAAAUUACCCUGGAGGAAGGGGAAAAGCCUGGAAAAAGAUGAAAAACACUCCGAUUACCCCUUUACAAAUAUUUUUCUUUAGCUGAAGUUGCUAAAUUUGACUCAGCUUUACACACUGGAAAGGUUUUGCGGUGUGUGGUUUUUUUUUGGCUGUUUUUUUUUUUUUUUUUUUUUUUUUUUUAAUGGUGAAUAAAGUGUUUCUUCCUUGCAAAACCCCCCACCAACUCUCAGCCCAGUGAUGCAGUUUCAGUGUGUCACAGAGGCAGCGUCAGCUCAGGCUCCGUGUUGGUAAGGUUGGUGCAAACCCCACAGGGCUUCAGGUGCCUGAAACCUGCACCUGGGGUCACAGCACAGGGUUUUUUCCAGAGGUCUGGGAGGGACAUCUCCCCCCACUUUGUUCAUUUCUGCCAGGGUUGAGGUGAGUUCAGUGCUCUGCCCUCAGCUCCCAUACCUGGGGGACAUGGGGACAUUGCUUGGUGGCUGGUCCCACCCAAAGAAGGGUGCAUGUGCUGCUGGGACAGUUCUGCCUGUGGUCUCAUCUUGCUUGUUGGCUGCAAGCUCUCAGCACCCAUAAAUAAACCUGGGAGCCUCUUGCUGCACACUUUCUCCUGGCUGACAUUUUCCUUGCAGGAGUGAUAGGGCAGGGAAAGGCUGAGCCCUGCUCUUAAGCUCUGCCGCAAAAUGUCUCCAGCAAGCCAGCGUGCCGUGCCUCAGUUUCCCCACACACCCCAUGGAAAUGAUGCUGUUGCCACACAGGACUUUGGCAAAGUGCUGGCAGAUCUAUGUCCACAGUGCUUCAUUACCAGGGAGCUGUGGGACCUGCUGCUCAUUCCUCUCGUCCUAAGGCAGGGGUUUAAAAUAGCUCCUGUGACUCAUUGUGCCCAGAGGGGCCCAAAGGUGCCACCUCCGAGCCCGUGUGUACCUUUCUAGCAUGCAUUUCCAGCACGUCUGGCUGCUGCUCACCUCCCAUUCCCAGAAAGUGAUGUGAUAAAGAGAGUUUCUUGCCUUUACUGUGGCUGAGCACCGUGGCUGGAUGUGGGAAGGCAAAGGUGUGAUGAGCGCUGACCCUCUGCAAGUCCACAGCUGUCUGUUCAGCCCUAGAUCUCAGGAUUGGAUGGCAUGAAGACUUGUCCUGGUCUUGUUUCAUCCUUUUUUGGUUUUUGCUCUUUUGAGGUUGGAUAUUAGGUUACAUUUCUUCUCAGAAAGAGUGGUGAUGCAUUGUCACAGGCUGCCCAGGAGGGUGGUGGGGUCACCGUCCCUGGAGGUGUUCAAGAUGUGGCUCUGAGAGAUGUGGUCAGUGGGCUUGGUGUGCUGGGCUUGGACUCGGGGAUCUUAGUGGUCUUUUCUGACCUUAAUGAUCCUAUGAUGUAAAAGCAGCAGGAACAGCUAGACAAGGAAUACGACACUCAUCAUCUCCAACCCAACCCUGCUGUUCUUGUCUGGGAGGAGGGAAACUUGCCUAUUGCGACUGGAUGACCUUUAAGGUCCCUCAUAACCCAAGCCAUUCUAUGACACUGACUUUGGGUCUCCCAUCCCAUCCCCAUACUCCCAGAGGUGCGGAACGUGGACGGACCUGAUGGCUCUUGGCCACAUGAAGGUGCCACCAGGAGGGAGAGCUGCAGCGCAGGGCACAGCGGUGGACGGGAUCAGCAGCAGCAGACGGAAGCGCGGCAGCUAUCAGCGCGCUGAGCGGCGCCGGACCCACUCGGCCCUUUUCUAAGAAACACCGCAGCAGUUGUGAGCGUUUACGGGAAGGGUGGGCUGCGCUCAACCCGGGCAGCCGCGAUAGUGCAGGGGGAGGAUGCGGCGCGGGGGGCUCCGCGCUGCUUUGCUUUCGUGUAAGGACUGCUUCCCGGAUGGUCCGGAGGAAAAGCGAGAGAGGAGGUUCAAUGCAAACCGCAUCUCUAAAUAGGGCUGAACUUUGAAGGCAUUCAGAGCAGUGCUUCCUGCUCUGAGCAGCCUUGAGGAGGAGAUGAAAGAUGCAGCUGAGCAGGGGAAAAAAAGCAAAACAAACCGAGUUAACGCUUUGUGCAGAGGUGCAGCAGUGACACAACAUGGGAGUGCGUCCAGAGCUGGGACAGAGCUCUAGGGACCCCAAUUCCCAUAAAGCAGCUCUACUUGGAGAAGAGAGCACAGGAAAUGGGAUAGAAAUGCCGUUUUUAAGUAUAAAAUGUGCGGCAUAAAGCAGGGAAUGGCCCGAUUGGGUUGAGUUGGGGGUCUUGCCAAGUAGCUUGCAGACUGCUCAGCGCCCUUCCUUGGGGCAGAAGCAGGCACAAUCAAUGGGCAUCCUCCAAAAAGCAGCAUGGUGCCAACAGCUCAAUAGGAACAGAGUGUCAACAUUCUCAUAACAUCAAAUGAAACAAAACAAAACCUGACCAACAGCCCCAAAGCCAAAGCAUUACAGAGCUGGGAAGUGGGGUUUGACAGCUCAGAAAGUACAACACAAGCAAAGUGUCACUGCUGCCGACCAACAGUAACCGACUUCUCGUAACCUGGCCAUGGGCUUCCUCUGGGGCUGGAGGUGGGGACAGCACAACACCGGCUGCCUGCACCCUAUGCAACACCACCACCACCCACACAACACCAACACCCACCGCGCCGACAGAGCCGGAGCAACAGGCUCGGCAGUGCCCGAGUGUAAUUGGGUUGACAACAUCCGGUGUUUCGCAAGCUGGCUUUGAUGUCUGUUUACUCUCCAUCCCCAGCACAUGCUCCACAGCGGCCUGAAGCAGACAGAAGGGCUCUGCACUGCUUUGAUCUCUCCCAGACCUGCAGGGAAUGGUUGGGCUGAAGACACCCUGGAGGGCUGCGGUGCCCCAUGGGGCUGCCCUGGGUGGGAGCCUUUGGGGCUGGGCUGUGUUCUCCUCUCAUCGCCAUCGGGAUGCUGCAGCCCCAUGGUGUGUCAGUACCCCACUUGCUCCCAUUUCUCUCCGUCCCACCCUGCAAUAAUAAAGGGAUGCCUCCACUCCACGAUUUUCUUUUUAUUUAAAACCGCAUUGUAUAAAAAAAAUAGGAUUUCUGAAUUCCCCUGUACAAUAUUAACUAUUAACAAAAACCCGCGGGUGACGCAUAGGUUGCAUGUACAGACAACAGCGCUCUCUGCAAGCUCAGCCCGAAGAGUGCAUGGGCACACACAGCCCCCCCAGCCCCCAAAACCCCAAAUCCAUCCGUGAUGUGGGACAGACACAUGGACACAGAGCAAAAUCUGACUGGGCACUGGGGGUCAGCAGCUGCAGAAGCAAAACAUGGGUCAGGACCCACAUGGGUUAUAAAUAAAUAAAUAAGUUAUCCUCCUGGCUCAGGCUCCUCCUUGCAAAAAUCAAAAAUAAUAAAAAAAAAAGAAUAUCCACAAAAAUAAAUUAAAAACUUGGAGGGGGAAUAAAAAAGGGCAAAAAUGUUACCAUUAUUAACAACUGUACACCAAGCUUUGCUCCUGUAUAAUAACUCUGUACACGCAUUUACAGCUCUGUUGGGUUGCAUUGUUUGUGCAUUGGGAAGCAGAGGGCUCAGGGAAGGCAUCGCCGCGGGGCUCCGAGCUCCUCCUGACCUGCUUCCUUCUGGGAAGGGAAAAGUAGCUCUAACACCCAG